rnacentral:rRNA from 1 species
UUGGAGGGCAAGUCUGGUGCCAGCAGCCGCGGUAAUUCCAGCUCCAAUAGUGUAUAUUAAGGUUGCUGCAGUUAAAAAGCUCGUAGUUGAAUUUCGGGACUAAUAUGUCGGUCGUGCCUCGGUACGUACUGGUAUUUUUGGUUUCUCCCUUCUGACGAACCUUGAUGUCAUUAAUUUGGUGUCUUGGGGAAUCAGGACUGUUACUUUGAAAAAAUUAGAGUGUUUAAAGCAGGCUCACGCUUGAAUACAUUAGCAUGGAAUAAUGAAAUAGGACGUUUGAUACUAUUUUGUUGGUUUCUAGGAUCGACGUAAUGAUUAAUAGGGAUAGUUGGGGGCAUUAGUAUUCAAUUGUCAGGGGUGAAAUUCUUGGAUUUAUUGAAGACUAACUACUGCGAAAGCAUUUGCCAAGGAUGUUUUCAUUAAUCAAGAACGAAAGUUAGGGGAUCGAAGACGAUCAGAUACCGUCGUAGUCUUAACUAUAAACUAUGCCGACUAGGGAUCGGAUGAUGUUAAUUUUUUAAUGACUCAUUCGGCGCCUUACGGGAAACCAAAGUGUUUGGGUUC